CAGACGGCCCUGACGUCUCACGCUGGGUCCGCCUUGAGGAAGCCGCUGGGGCCGGUCCCUCUCACGCUUUGAUGUCAACUCAUUACUACACACCAGGGUAAAUCUGAGGCGGAAAUAUUCAACAGAGGUCAGCAGGGAGCCUCGAGUAAAUCUGAGAAGCCCCACUCCAGCAAGUCAUUUCCUUCGGGAAGAAGCAGGGUGAAAAGGAGGCUUUGGGAAAACUCAGCCCAACCCAGUUACAGAGAGAGAGAGAGAUGCAGAGACAUAGGCAGAGGGAGAAGCAGGCUCCAUGCACCGGGAGCCCGACGUGGGAUUCGAUCCCGGGUCUCCAGGAUCGCGCCCUGGGCCAAAGACCCACGCCAAACCACUGCGCCACCCAGGGAUCCCUAUCUUAACCAGUUUUAAGUGUACAUACAGUCCAGUGAUAUUAAAUACAUUCACACUGUUGUGCAGCCAUCACCAGAACUUUUUCAUCUUUCCAAACUGAAAUUUAGUCCCCAUUAAACAGUAACUAACCAUCUACCCCUCCCUCAGCAUUUGGCAACCACCAUUCCACUUUCUAUCUCUGUGAAUCUGGCUAGAUACCUCAUAUAAGUAGAAUCAUACAGCAUUUGUCCCCUUGUGACUGGAACGAUGUCCUCAAGUUUUAUCUAUGUUGUAGUAUGUGUCAGAAUUCCCUUCCUUUUUAAAUCUAAAUAAUAUUCCUUUGUAUGGCUAUACAUUUUGUUGAUUCUGUGUGCUUUCUUAAAAAGAUGUAUUUAUUUUUUAUUUUUGUAUUUAUUUUGAGAUGUAUUUAUUUAUUUGAGAGAGAGCACGCACCCUCAGUGUG